CUGUGCCAUAGAGGGUGAGAGCCCCGUAGACGAAACGUCACACUCUCUGUUCAGGAUCCUGAGUACGGCGGGACACGUGAAACCCCGUCGGAACCCGCGAGGACCAUCUCGCAAGGCUAAAUACUCCCUAGUGACCGAUAGUGAACCAGUACCGUGAGGGAAAGGUGAAAAGCACCCCGGAAGGGGAGUGAAAUAGUUCCUGAAACCAUGUGCC
rnacentral:rRNA from 1 species